CCUACGGGAGGCAGCAGUGGGGAAUAUUGGACAAUGGGGGCAACCCUGAUCCAGCCAUGCCGCGUGUGUGAAGAAGGCCCUCGGGUUGUAAAGCACUUUCAGUGAGGAAGAACGCCUGGUGGUUAAUACCCAUCAGGAAAGACAUCACUCACAGAAGAAGCACCGGCUAACUCCGUGCCAGCAGCCGCGGUAAUACGGAGGGUGCGAGUGUUAAUCGGAAUUACUGGGCGUAAAGCGCGCGUAGGUGGCUUGAUAAGCCGGUUGUGAAAGCCCCGGGCUCAACCUGGGAACGGCAUCCGGAACUGUCAAGCUAGAGUGCAGGAGAGGAAGGUAGAAUUCCCGGUGUAGCGGUGAAAUGCGUAGAGAUCGGGAGGAAUACCAGUGGCGAAGGCGGCCUUCUGGACUGACACUGACACUGAGGUGCGAAAGCGUGGGUAGCAAACAGGAUUAGAUACCCUAGUAGUC
rnacentral:rRNA from 1 species